rnacentral:rRNA from 1 species
GGGGAAUCUUCCGCAAUGGGCGAAAGCCUGACGGAGCAACGCCGCGUGAGCGAAGACGGCCUUCGGGUUGUAAAGCUCUGUUAUACGGGACGAACGGCUAGUGUGCCAAUACCACAUUAGAAUGACGGUACCGUAAGAGAAAGCCACGGCUAACUACGUGCCAGCAGCCGCGGUAAUACGUAGGUGGCAAGCGUUGUCCGGAAUUAUUGGGCGUAAAGGGCGCGCAGGCGGUUUCAUAAGUCUGUCUUAAAAGUGCGGGGCUUAACCCCGUGAGGGGACGGAAACUGUGAGACUGGAGUGUCGGAGAGGAAAGCGGAAUUCCUAGUGUAGCGGUGAAAUGCGUAGAUAUUAGGAGGAACACCAGUGGCGAAAGCGGCUUUCUGGACGACAACUGACGCUGAGGCGCGAAAGCCAGGGGAGCGAACG